rnacentral:lncRNA from 1 species
UCAAAAUGAGAGCAAAGAGGAAUCACAUUAAUCCAAACAUCUUCCUAUAACCGAUUGGAUGCCCUAUUUUUCCAACCUUUAAUGCCAUCUAAUUCCAUAAGGCAGAAUUUUUCAAGCAAACAUCUUUCCAAAUAGGAGGUAAACCCAAAUUAUUUUUCCUUGUCUCAUGCCCAACUUCCUCUUCAAGUAAUAGGCCCAUGUAAUCUAACACCACCAA